rnacentral:rRNA from 1 species
AAACUUUCAGCAACGGAUCUCUUGGUUCUGGCAUCGAUGAAGAACGCAGCGAAAUGCGAUAAGUAAUGUGAAUUGCAGAAUUCAGUGAAUCAUCGAAUCUUUGAACGCACAUUGCGCCCCUUGGUAUUCCGAGGGGCAUGCCUGUUCGAGCGUCAUUA